rnacentral:rRNA from 1 species
CCUACGGGAGGCAGCAGUGGGGAAUAUUGGACAAUGGGCGAAAGCCUGAUCCAGCAAUGCCGCGUGAGUGAUGAAGGCCUUAGGGUUGUAAAGCUCUUUUACCAGGGAUGAUAAUGACAGUACCUGGAGAAUAAGCUCCGGCUAACUCCGUGCCAGCAGCCGCGGUAAUACGGAGGGAGCUAGCGUUGUUCGGAAUUACUGGGCGUAAAGCGUACGUAGGCGGCGAUUCAAGUCAGAGGUGAAAGCCUGGAGCUCAACUCCAGAACUGCCUUUGAAACUAGAUUGCUAGAAUCGUGGAGAGGUGAGUGGAAUUCCGAGUGUAGAGGUGAAAUUCGUAAGAUAUUCGGAAGAACACCAGUGGCGAAGGCGGCUCACUGGACACGUAUUGACGCUGAGGUACGAAAGCGUGGGGAGCAAACAGGAUUAGAUACCCUGGUAGUCCACGCCGUAAACGAUGAUAACUAGCUGCCAGGGUUCUUAGAACUUUGGUGGCGCAGCUACGACAUUAAGUUAUCCGCCGUGGGAGGUACGGUCGGCGAAGAAUUAAAACUUAAAAUUAGAAGUUAGACGGCGUGAGACGUAGCCGACGGACGACGACGAGGGAGGAGG